GUGAGAUUACCAUGAAAUGUGACAUUCUUCAGAAUUCAUCCUGGAAUCAAUAUUAUGCCAAAGAAAAUUUUCUGAAAGCUACACAGAUCAUACCACUGCAACUCAGCCAACCAGCACAUCGGACAGUGGGAGGAGGAAUUCUUGGCUAAGAGUACUGAGAGAUGGGGUUUCACCAUGUUAACCAGGAUUGUCUCAAUCUCCUGACCGCGUGAUCCACCUGCCUCAGCCUCCCAAAGUGCUGGGAUUACAGGCGUGAGCCACCAUGCCUGGCCAAAAUUCUGUAUGUCUUUCUAAUCUCACUUCCUAAUGGAGAUAAAAUAGAUCUCAGGCUUAUGUAUUUUUCUAGAACAUUAAAAUCUUGUUUUUUGUGUAUUUAUUAUUAAGUUUACCUUCUAUUGUGGAAAACUCUAUUGAUUCUUCAUUUAAAAUAGUAAUAUAAAUUUUAUUUUCAAGGAAUGCAUUUAGGAAACUAAAGAAGUCAAUGUAAACAACAAAUAUUGAAUAAAUAAUAGUCCAGGUGAUACACAAAGUUGGAAAAUACUACAACACCUACCAUUAAGAAAUUAUUACCAAAUAGGUUG
rnacentral:lncRNA from 10 species